rnacentral:rRNA from 1 species
AUUGAACGCUAGCGGGAUGCUUUACACAUGCAAGUCGAACGAGUGGAGGACGGGUGAGUAAUAUAUCGGAACGUGCCCAGUAGCGGGGGAUAACUACUCGAAAGAGUGGCAAAUACGGCAGCCUAUUGGUACGGCCGAUAUCGGAUUAGCCAGAUGGGGGGGUAAAGGCUCACCAAGGCAACGAUCCGUCGCUGGUUUGAGAGGACGACCAGCCACGAUGGGACUGAGACACGGCCCAGACUCCUGCGGUAGGCAGCAGUGGGGAAUUUUGGGCAAUGGGGCAAACCCUGAUCCAGCCAUCCCGCGUGUAUGAGAAGGCCUUCGGGUUGUAAAGUACUUUUGGCAGAGAAGCGGUAUCUGCAGAAUAAGCACCGGCUAACUACGUGCCAGCAGCCGCGGUAAUUC